UACGUAGGCAGCGAGCGUUGUUCGGAGUUACUGGGCGUAAAGGGUGUGUAGGCGGUCGUUUAAGUUUGGUGUGAAAUCUCCCGGCUCAACCGGGAGGGUGCGCCGAAUACUGAGCGGCUAGAGUGCGGGAGAGGAAAGUGGAAUUCCUGGUGUAGCGGUGAAAUGCGCAGAUAUCAGGAAGAACACCCGUGGCGAAGGCGGCUCUCUGGAACGCAACUGACGCUGAGACGCGAAAGCGUGGGGAGCAAACAGG
rnacentral:rRNA from 1 species